CCCUUUGUGGCCUCCCUUUAUGCACCAAUUGGAAGGCAGGUUCUGCCGAGUGUUGUUCCCACGCUGAGGGAGGAGAACAGGAAGGACUUGGCUUCACAGCAGGGCUCUACCUUCUGCUAUUAUGGCUAUGAUUCAAUCAUGGCAGGGCCCGCUCUACCCUGGCACACUGUAAAAGCCAAAGAAAUGUCCUCCACCUCCUCGCCAUUGCUAAUGGAACUUCGAGCCAAAGGUGCAUUUUUCACAGAAAGGAAUCCAUCAGCCACUUACUGUGGGAAAUAGCACCGGUAUGCUUUACUUCACAAAUCCACUCCUCCAACCCCUCUGCUCUCUCAAAAUGGUCUCCUCGCUUCUUUUUUUCUGUGCUCCAUCCCAAGGUUGCCGCCAGAGGUGCACUGUGUGGCGUGGUGGAGUCAAACUGGGCCAGCUCUCUCGGCGCUCUUUCCCCCAAAGUGCCCUCUGUGUGAAAUCGUUUUUUUUGCCUUUGUGGUCCAGGGCCACGAUGAGGCAUUAGGGCCCAGCAGAGUGUGGACUACAGGGGGAUGCAGACCUACUCGGCUUCCCCAGGACUAAUCUCUAUCCUCCAGCAAAGGCCUAAAUUGAGCCAUCCUCAGCUGCUGAUCUAGGGGUGAAACACCAAUUAACAUAAUGAGCGACAAGCCACUGAGGAAGGAAACAGAGGAGGAGGAGGAGGAAGGAGGAGGAGAAGAUGGCCACAUAGAUUGGGAUGGGGGGUGGCCAGACAAUCCAAUCGGGUCUGGGUGAGCUGUGGGGCCGGAGCAGGGCUGAAAGGUCCCGGGUUCAUGGGGAUGGAGCAGGGGGGGGAAGGGACUGGGGAUUGAUUCCGGGGGAGAGAGCAGGGGAGGAGGAGGAGGAGCAGGAGGAGGAGGAGCCAUGGUGCUGCAGGCAGAGCUUGGGCGCUCAAGUGGCAGCUUAGUGAGCACAGUGAUUAUGAAGCAUGAAGUGGAGCGCGUUGAUUGCGGCGGUGAUGAAGGCCUCUCCUAACAGCCUGAUGGGGAUUUGUUGUUAGUCUAGCUGUGUUUGUUCUGGCGGAGUAUUUGUGUGUGUGUGUGUGUGUGUGUGUGUGUGUGUGUGUGUGUGUGUGUGUGUGUGUGUGAAUCUGUUUUUCAGUUGUUGUUGAACAGCAGUCCAAGUGCAUAUUUUAAUAAUAGAAGCGGAUAUUUCCCAGUAAACUAAUUUCAGCUGAUACGUGGCCAUUCACAUGGAUAAUUUGGGGCUUUUAUUACUCACUACCGUUGUUCCGCCCAACCCAAGGGCAUUUGAUUGGACAUAAGUUUUUCAUUUGCAGCGCAUAAAAUAUCCCUGAAGUUUUGAACAUUCGAAGAGUAAUGUCUUACCCAAACCCUUUUUUUUACCCAAAAAAAUGUGUCAUAUUUUUCAGCUGGUGUGCUAUAUAGAUGAAUGCAACAUUCAAAUUUAUUCUUCUUCUUUGCUUGAGUAGAUUUUAAGAAUAUAAAAACUGCCAUUGAGGCC
ensembl:lncRNA